GUCUUGGAGAAUGUCUGAACAGCUGAAGAACAGAAAAGUCUUUUCUACUGUGCAGAUUUUUCUCUGUAUGAACUUUUCAAGGCUGAAAGAAAUUUCAAGCAGGUUUAGAUGGAGACCCUGCUAAUGGCUAUUUAUGAAGAAAAUGAAAUAAUCUAUGUAUACCACAUAUGCUGUCAUGCUCAUGGCUUCCCUACAUUCCCAAAAUGUUCUUCCCUAGGCCUGUCUUCAGCUCAUCAAAAAGCUUCUUCCUAAGCCAAGUGAGCCUCCUGCUGAAACUCCUAGUGUUUACAUAGGGCCUUCUUCCUGCCUGAAUUCUCAAACAUCAAGAAGCUCUCCGGGGAACGCUUCGACCUUAUGCCUGUUCCCCUGGGAUUUUACCCUGCUGUUCUCUUUAAU